rfam:Candidatus Omnitrophica bacterium CG1_02_43_210 cg_0.2_sub10_scaffold_455_c, whole genome shotgun sequence.
UGCGGGGUGGAGCAGCGGUAGCUCGUCAGGCUCAUAACCUGAAGGCCGACGGUUCGAUUCCGUCCCCCGCUA